rnacentral:rRNA from 1 species
GAGGCGUGGCUUCCGGAGCUAACGCGUUAAGUCGACCGCCUGGGGAGUACGGCCGCAAGGUUAAAACUCAAAUGAAUUGACGGGGGCCCGCACAAGCGGUGGAGCAUGUGGUUUAAUUCGAUGCAACGCGAAGAACCUUACCUGGCCUUGACAUCCACGGAAUUCGGCAGAGAUGCCUUAGUGCCUUCGGGAACCGUGAGACAGGUGCUGCAUGGCUGUCGUCAGCUCGUGUUGUGAAAUGUUGGGUUAAGUCCCGCAACGAGCGCAACCCUUAUCCUUUGUUGCCAGCGAGUAAUGUCGGGAACUCAAAGGAGACUGCCGGUGAUAAACCGGAGGAAGGUGGGGAUGACGUCAAGUCAUCAUGGCCCUUACGGCCAGGGCUACACACGUGCUACAAUGGCGCAUACAAAGAGAAGCGACCUCGCGAGAGCAAGCGGACCUCAUAAAGUGCGUCGUAGUCCGGAUCGGAGUCUGCAACUCGACUCCGUGAAGUCGGAAUCGCUAGUAAUCGUAGAUCAGAA